rnacentral:rRNA from 1 species
ACUCCUACGGGAGGCAGCAGUGGGGAAUAUUGCACAAUGGGGGAAACCCUGAUGCAGCCAUGCCGCGUGUGUGAAGAAGGCCUUCGGGUUGUAAAGCACUUUCAGUAGGGAGGAAGGUAGUGUAGUUAACACCUGCACUAUUUGACGUUACCUACAGAAGAAGCACCGGCUAACUCCGUGCCAGCAGCCGCGGUAAUACGGAGGGUGCGAGCGUUAAUCGGAAUUACUGGGCGUAAAGCGCAUGCAGGCGGCCUGUUAAGUCAGAUGUGAAAGCCCGGGGCUUAACCUCGGAAUUGCAUUUGAAACUGGCAGGCUAGAGUCUUGUAGAGGGGGGUAGAAUUUCAGGUGUAGCGGUGAAAUGCGUAGAGAUCUGAAGGAAUACCAGUGGCGAAGGCGGCCCCCUGGACAAAGACUGACGCUCAGAUGCGAAAGCGUGGGGAGCAAACAGGUUUAGAUACCCUGGUAGCACAGAG